GCGGUUAAAUGAUGAGGCUCUAGAAUGAGCACUGGGCACAGCGCUGGAGUCAGACUGGCGUCGGGGGCUGUGGACCGC